GGUUGCAUUGGACACAAGUGUGGUACAUCAGCAAACAAAUGGAAAACUUAAUGGAAUUAAAUGGCAGAGACCAAAUUGAUUUACAGUAGAUAAUUUCAAGAACGACAUUGAUUGAUUUUCAAAUUACGGGAUCUAAAUGAUGAGAUAGGUCAAUUUUAAGGACCAUUUGUAAUAAAAACCCUUUAAUAUAUAGAUUGUCUUUUUCUUUUUCGUAUCUUGUUUUUGGAGGUUCCUAGUUUCCAAAAACUAUACAUCGCCGGCGCCAUAUUUUUGCUUUACUAAAUUUACCCAACUUUUGAGUGCAUAUCGUGACACUUUAUUCUUUAGCUAGGAAGAAACACACAGAUGAUGAUGAAGAUUAUUGUUAUUGCAAAAGUAUAAUCGUUGUUUAUAUUGUUUUACUGUUGGUUUUAAAAUGAAUGAAAGUGCUUUUGGUGAAAGUGUUUUUGGGUUCCAAAAGCACUUGAAGUUCUUUUUGGAAGAAACACUAGUUAUGUGAUUCUUGUAGGAAACACUUAAAGUGUUUUUACAGGAUUCACUUGUAUUUUUAUUAGGGAUUAAUUUUAAAAACAUUUUCAUCAAAAACGUUUCUAGUCAUUAUAAUAGACUCACACAUAAAUGCUGUCUAACUCUAUAAACAAUGAAUUUCAAACUUUUAUUAUAAGUUGGCUCACAGUUCAUACAAUGCAACAUGGUUUUGCACCGAUCGUGUUAUUUCUUUUUAUUUGAACCUCUAGAUCACAUUUUGUGACGUUCUUAUCAAAAAUUUAUUAUUUGAUUAUUAAUAAAUCGCUAUCGUUUUGCAUCAAAAAAUAGAUGGGUAGUCCAACGGAUGAGAGACCUUGCUUAGAUUUCUUGCAUCACAUAUAGUUAGGCAUAAAUCCAAGGCCAGCCGGUUGGCCCGAUUCCUCUU
rnacentral:lncRNA from 1 species